rnacentral:rRNA from 1 species
GAUGAACGCUGGCGGCGUGCCUAAUACAUGCAAGUCGAGCGAACGGACGAGAAGCUUGCUUCUCUGAUGUUAGCGGCGGACGGGUGAGUAACACGUGGAUAACCUACCUAUAAGACUGGGAUAACUUCGGGAAACCGGAGCUAAUACCGGAUGAUAUUUUGAACCGCAUGGUUCAAAAGUGAAAGACGGUCUUGCUGUCACUUAUAGAUGGAUCCGCGCUGCAUUAGCUAGUUGGUAAGGUAACGGCUUACCAAGGCAACGAUGCAUAGCCGACCUGAGAGGGUGAUCGGCCACACGGGAACUGGGACACGGUCCAGACUCCUACGGGAGGCAGCAGUAGGGAAUCUUCCGCAAUGGGCGAAAGCCUGACGGAGCAACGCCGCGUGAGUGAUGAAGGUCUUCGGAUCGUAAAACUCUGUUAUUAGGGAAGAACAGAUGUGUAAGUAACUGUGCACAUCUUGACGGUACCUAAUCAGAAAGCCACGGCUAACUACGUG